CAAAAAGGUUAGAAUUCAGCUAAAAAUGGUGAUACGUUGGCUUUUACUUGUAUAUGGUUGUGAGAUAGAUAUUUUGUGUGAUUUGGUGUCCACUCCCACCCCCACCAUUGAAAAUAGAGCAAAAAUUGGAGCUGAGAAAGGAAUCAUUUUCCCUAUUUGGUGGGAAGAGUAUUGCAUAUGCAAUACAUUACGAGAGUAAUUUUGGGAGUGAAAAAGACAAGGAAUAUUCUCGAGAAGGAUGUUUCUGAGAACCUUUGUGUUUUGGUGUUCUUUCUACUAUCCUAAAGAAGUCACACCAUUUCCAGGGAAAUCUAGAGUUAUUCACCAUUAAGACAAAAUAGGUCAUUCUUAAAAUGUUCCUUUACAUCAUUUUUUAUACAAGCUGCACCUCCCAGAGUGAAUGUCAGAAUCAAUGGGUUGGGUAGAACAGAAGUUUCCACCCUCAUUUCCCCAGAGCCCUACCUUUGAUGGGGGGCGGGGGUAUUAAAGGAUGAGGGAAAGGGGCGCUAGGAGGAAUGAUACCCAGGCUCCACCACCUCCUUCAACAACCACAGCCCCACUUUUGUCUGUUUAAUAGAGCAAUCAUUGAAAAUUUCCUUUGAAAAAAAAGGGUCUCAUGUUUUAAAAACUUGGAACAUAAUGGGAAUAGAAAAACUGAUGUGCCUGGAUUAACCCUGGAAAAACAGGAUACAAGUUAUAAAAAUGAUGAAUGUUUCUUCAGACUAAUUGUUUCUUUCUAAUUCCUCACAAGGCUCAUGAAACUAUAUGCUGUUCUCCUGUGGGAUCCACUAACCUUGCACCUUGUGAAUCACUCUCCACUCCCCUCACUUUCUAGUCCUCAAGCUGGGGUGGUCAAGGGUUAGGGGAGAAGCAGGUGAAGUAGGGAGGGCACAUAAAACAGAUGGAUUGGGCUGCUCUCCCCUACAGUUUUAUAUAUGCUUGCCAAAGAAGUAAGACCUCUGUACUGAUAAGAGUAAGAUAAGUCUAAAUGUUUCUUACAGACAAAGUUGACAAGAUUCAAAAGUGGUUUGGGUAAAAGAGACUCAAUCCUAGAGGGGCAUUUGAUUCCAAAAGGGAAGAAGACGUACUUCAUCUGGAACAUCGUGAAGUCACAGAAGAACUUCACAAGUGUUCCGAUCGGAAGGGAGCCCUUUGAGUAAGUGAAAUGAAGCGUGAAUAACUGCCUAAUUAGUGGACAUGAAAACUGGACAGUCUCCAAAGUCAUCAGAGAUGACCACGCUUGCCAGGCAACUUACUAGACUAAGGGUGACGUGCCCAUCAUGCAGGAAGCUUCUCCAAGGCUGGCGAGAGCAACUUGUCUGCUUUGAGAAAUGCAGAUCUAUCAGGAUCCAGAAUCGGACUCUGAAAAAGCUGUCAUUUCAUGUCUCUAAAACAGCCUUUGAUUUAAUGUACAAGAUGUCAAGAAGUAAAGGACAAUAAAAUAAAAACCAAAAAAGGAGAACUAUUUCAAUUAAGAAGCAUUCCUAUAUCAAUUCUUGGAAAUCACAUAAAAUAAAAGCUGUCAGAAUCAAUCUCUGUUUAAAAGGCUGAUUUUUUUGUGGUGCUUACAUACAACAUGCAAGACCAGAAAAAAAUACAAAUUACUAGCACAGAGCAGCCAAACUUAAAAAAUCCUUUCUCAUUAGAGAGAUAUCUGGUUAUUAAAUUUUCCUAAUGGAUCUAGGAAAAGUGUUUUUAUGGCUGGGGC
rnacentral:lncRNA from 1 species